rnacentral:rRNA from 1 species
GAUGAACGCUAGCUACAGGCUUAACACAUGCAAGUCGAGGGGCAGCGGGAUUGAAGCUUGCUUCAAUUGCCGGCGACCGGCGCACGGGUGAGUAACGCGUAUCCAACCUUCCGUACACUCAGGGAUAGCCUUUCGAAAGAAAGAUUAAUACCUGAUGGUAUGAUGAGAUUGCAUGAUAUCAUCAUUAAAGAUUUAUCGGUGUACGAUGGGGAUGCGUUCCAUUAGGUAGUAGGCGGGGUAACGGCCCACCUAGCCAACGAUGGAUAGGGGUUCUGAGAGGAAGGUCCCCCACAUUGGAACUGAGACACGGUCCAAACUCCUCCGGGAGGCAGCAGUGAGGAAUAUUGGUCAAUGGACGAGAGUCUGAACCAGCCAAGUAGCGUGAAGGAUGAAGGUCCUACGGAUUGUAAACUUCUUUUAUAAGGGAAUAAACCCUCCCACGUGUGGGAGCUUGUAGGUACCUUAUGAAUAAGCAUCGGCUAACUCCGUG